UACGGAGGGGGCAAGCGUUAUUCGGAAUUAUUGGGCGUAAAGGGCGCGUAGGCGGCCCGGUAAGUCAAAGGUGAAAUCCCCGAGCUCAACUUGGGAACUGCCUUUGAUACUGCUGGGCUUGAGUCCGGGAGGGGAGAGUGGAAUUCCCAGUGUAGCGGUGAAAUGCGUAGAUAUUGGGAGGAACACCGGUGGCGAAGGCGGCUCUCUGGACCGGUUCUGACGCUGAGGCGCGAAAGCGUGGGUAGCAAACAGG
rnacentral:rRNA from 1 species